CGGGCGCAGCCAAGCGGCUCCGCUGCGCCGGUUAAAACAUUCUCCCAGGGGGCAUCUCUCUGUCCUUGGCCAGAUGGUCUCGACACGUGCGGGCACCUCUAACCCAGGCUCUCGCUCUGUUGACCAGGCUGGAGCGCAGUGGCGCUACCACAGCUCACUGCAGCCUUGACCUCCCAGGCUCAAGCAAUCCUCCACCUCAGCCUUGCAAGCAGAUGGGACUAUAGGACAGUGGCAUACUAUCACAUCUAUCAAAGAAAAUGUGAAAAGUGCCUGAAAUGUGCUACUGAUCAACCAAUAGCAGUGAAAACUCACAUACGGUACACAUUCCAUUUGGAUCACAAAAGCAAAGCCAAACAUCUCGGUAAGUGGGAGGAAGUAACUGAUGAACUGACUAAAGGAAAAACAGAGACUCUGGGCUUGGUCAUGUGACUUACUUCAGUCAAUGGGACAUUAGCAAGAAUAAUAAAGCAGGAGUUUGAUAAGAGUUUGUACAUUUUGGCUUAUCAUCUUAAAAUAUUCUUGGAAGCCAGAUGCAAUAAGAAGUCCAGCCACCCUAAGACCACUAUAUGUGAGGAAACCCAAGCUAGUCAUGUGGAAAAAACAUGUAGACAGAGGGAUGCCUGGCUAGUCUCCAGCUUAGUCAUGGGAGUGAAGAAGCCACUUUGGAUGUUCCAGCCUUGGAAGAUACUUCCUGGAACCAAAGAAACACCUUGCUGAGCCCAGCACAGACUGCAGAAUCAUGAGAAAUAAUAGUUGGUUUAAGCCACUAC
rnacentral:antisense_RNA from 1 species